UUAUAUCGAUGGCACCGGGCGUCUUCAUGCAUGAGGGCAGAUCCGACUGGCCGCACCGAGAUCUCUGCUCAGGUCGAGGGGAAGUCUGUUUAUGGAGGCUGCUAAUCAAAGCCCAUUGUUAGCGAUUAGGGGAGUAGGACACUUCUCCAGCACAGAAACACGGCCCGGUGGGAUUUUUCUGCAUGCGGAUGAUUGGACAUCGCUAUUCAAAGGGAGCCUUCACAAAGGACAAUCAUUAAAGAAAGAGAUUUACUCCAUCACUCUGAAAAUCCUUUAAAUAAAAUUUAUAGAUAAUCCAUGAACACAAAAGCUGUUUUCCUUUUUUUGCUGUAUUUUCGAAGCUCCUCACGUUUGACUCAUUAAGUCCAGCAUCGCCCUGACAUCACUAGUCGUCUUCCUGCUGUGAUCAACUCAGACAGUUUAAUCUCGUCCUUCGCUAUAAUCCAUCCACACAAGACACAGGACCUAGACUUUGAUGUACUGUAAGCGACCUCCAGUAGGUGAUGAUUUUUUCUUUUUUUGCCAAGACGUUCCUCCGCUGCCAAAGAACGCAAUCACAUUACAUAACGGAAAAAGGGCAAAAGCGCAGCAUCGGCGACAAAAAUGCCUUGAAUUUGGCCGAGCUGGUUUACGUCAUUACAGCAAAGGACGACUGCAGAUGAGCGGUGAUGUCCCAUGGGUUUAUUGGUCUACGGCGAAAACUGCAGACUUUUCCAGGGAAAAUGGUAAACACUGUCUACAGUGAUGAGGAAAAGGGAUCCCAAGACAAGGAAAGUAAGGAGGAGACCAUCUUGGCCAUGCUGGGCAUCAUCGGGACCAUCCUCAACUUGGUCGUCAUCAUCUUUGUCUACAUCUACACCACGCUGUAGGUCCUGAACUCUGACCUUCUGCACCACUGGCGUGCUGAUGGAUGCGACGGGAGGAGGAGGAGGAGGAGGAGGAGGAGGAGGAGGAGGAGGACGCUGCAGGGCUUCAGGCGAUGCAGGGAGGCCCGCUGGCUCCUCCAGCGCUCACAGGUACAAUCACCCAGAGCAUCCGGAAAUGUUUAGUCUGUACAUAGACGCGUGGCGCUGAUGCAGGACGCUGGGAAGAUGCAGCUGUCUCCUUCGCAGGGACUGGAAGGACUGCAGAGACAGCACGGACACGUUGUUGGUUUUUUUCAGACGUUAUUUCCUGGAUUAUUAGAUAAAUGAUGUGAUUUGCUUCCGCGAGUUGAACAAUGAACCUGUACAGAGAACUUAUAGACCGAUACCUUUUUAUUAUGUCUUGUUGAAGAUGAUCUCAUGCGCAUUCACAUUAUGAGUAAUUAUCUGGUUUCGCUCUAAAACAUCAUUGGACUUUAUUUAAUCAAAGAGAACGAACGUGAGGACAACACUGGCUUUAAACCAGUUUAAGGAGCAGUUUAUCUACAUACAGUUGUUGAAGAUUACUUUAAUGCAUCGCUUCAGGCUUUAAGGCUCAGUCACUUUGAAACAUGACAAACAGUGUUUUUCUACCAGGCAGACUGACAGACUCAGUCUGUUCCAUGGGACAUAAUGCGACCACUCAUUUUUGUACAUAGAGUUUGCUGAGCGUAGGCGCUGCCAAUAGCUCCUAAUGAUUGUUUGCCUUAAAACAUGGGGAAAUUGCUAUUUCCACGAUGUGUAAAGUUAUCAGGUUAUUACUACUUUGUUAAAGGUUUCACUUCUUGUAUAUACACUCUAAAGCUCAGAUUGGUAAUUUUAUAAAUUUUGUCUUAACAGACAUGCAAAACCUGUGAGUUUUUAAAUAGUGACUCUGUGACGUUUGAGUUCUUUCCAGACCUGCUGUUCAUUUCUUCCUUUUGUGUUCUGUGAGAUGGGCGAGCGUUUGAGCCCACAGGACAUUACUGUGAACGUUAUGGGACGUGAGCACUAGAAGUUUUACCUUUGGGAUAAAUGACUUCACCGGCACUGUGUCAUGCUGUACGUCCUCGUCGUCUUCCCCCUCAUCCAUCUGGGCGUUGAGGCACUUUUUAACAAAGGAUUUGUGUGUUUGGUUCAGGACUGGAGAUAAGAAAACACUUUUACAUUUGAGGAAAAACAUCCCAGAAGAAGUGAUUCUUUCCUCUGACCGGAAUCUGGGCCUGGUGGUUUCAGUGUGAAUAAACCAAUUCAUGUCAGGUUGUGUGAUGUUUAG
ensembl:lncRNA